rnacentral:sRNA from 1 species
UUUUUGCUGCGUUAAUGAUGGUAGUGACAUCCUUUUUUGUUUUUACAAAAAAGAUAUAACGGACAGCAUGACCCGAA